rnacentral:rRNA from 1 species
UGCCAGCCGCCGCGGUAAUACGUAGGUUGCAAGCGUUAUCCGGAUUUAUUGGGCAUAAAGAGUGCGUAGGCGGUAUUUUAAGUCAGAUGUUAAAUCCCACAGCUCAACUGUGGUCCGCAUUUGAAACUGGAAUACUAGAGACUAGGAGAGGAAAGUGGAACUCACAGUGUAGCGGUGAAAUGCGUAGAUAUUGUGAGGAACACCAGUGGCGAAGGCGGCUUUCUGGACUAGUUCUGACGCUGAGGCACGAAAGCAUGGGGAGCGAACGGGAUUAGAUA